rnacentral:rRNA from 1 species
AUCAAAGGAACUAAGGGCGCACAGUGGAUGCCUUGGCACUAAGAGCCGAUGAAGGACGCAAUUAACGGCGAAACGCCACGGGAAGCUGUAAAUAAGUGAAGAUCCGUGGGUCUCCGAAUGGGAAAACCCAUUACAUUGAAGAUGUAAUAUUCUUCUAAUGCGAUUUAUCUUGUUAGAAGAAAGGAAACGCGGCGAACUGAAAUAUCUAAGUAACCGCAGGAAAAGAAAGUAAUAACGAACCCGGAACAGCCUGAUACCAUUUCUAGUUACAAAAUUUUAACGAAGUAGAAGCU